AUUGAACGCUGGCGGCAUGCCUUACACAUGCAAGUCGAACGGCAGCGGGCCUUCGGGUGCCGGCGAGUGGCGAACGGGUGAGUAAUGCAUCGGAACGUGCCAUUGAGUGGGGGGAUAACGUAGCGAAAGUUACGCUAAUACCGCAUAUUCUGUGAGCAGGAAAGCAGGGGACCGCAAGGCCUUGCGCUCUUUGAGCGGCCGAUGUCAGAUUAGCUAGUUGGUGAGGUAAAGGCUUACCAAGGCGACGAUCUGUAGCGGGUCUGAGAGGAUGAUCCGCCACACUGGAACUGAGACACGGUCCAGACUCCUACGGGAGGCAGCAGUGGGGAAUUUUGGACAAUGGGCGCAAGCCUGAUCCAGCCAUGCCGCGUGAGUGAAGAAGGCCUUCGGGUUGUUAAAGGCUCUUUCGGUCCGGGAACGGAAAAGUACGACACUGGGUUUAAAGUAACCCUGUGUGGAUGACGGUACCGGAAGUAAGUAAGACACCGGCUAACUACGUAGCCAGCAGCCGCGGU
rnacentral:rRNA from 1 species